AACGAACGCUGGCGGCAUGCCUAACACAUGCAAGUCGAACGAGACCUUCGGGUCUAGUGGCGCACGGGUGCGUAACGCGUGGGAACCUGCCCUUAGGUUCGGAAUAACUCCCCGAAAGGGGUGCUAAUACCGGAUAAUGUCUUCGGACCAAAGAUUUAUCGCCUUUGGAUGGGCCCGCGUUGGAUUAGCUAGUUGGUAGGGUAAAAGCCUACCAAGGCGACGAUCCAUAGCUGGUCUGAGAGGAUGAUCAGCCACACUGGGACUGAGACACGGCCCAGAUUCCUACGGGAGGCAGCAGUGGGGAAUAUUGGACAAUGGGCGAAAGCCUGAUCCAGCAAUGCCGCGUGAGUGAUGAAGGCCUUAGGGUUGUAAAGCUCUUUUACCCGGGAUGAUAAUGACAGUACCGGGAGAAUAAGCUCCGGCUAACUCCGUG
rnacentral:rRNA from 1 species